rnacentral:rRNA from 1 species
GACGAACGCUGGCGGCGUGCUUAACACAUGCAAGUCGAACGAUGUGGCGAACGGGUGCGUAAUACGUGGGUAACCUGCCCUCCUUUUUGGGAUAAGCCUUGGUAACGGGGUCUAAUACCUACUAAAGUGGGAGGGGCUCGCGGCCUAUCAGCUUGUUGGGGGGGUGAUGGCCUACCAAGGCGGUGACGGGGAGCCGGCCUGAGGGGGUGACCGGCCAGAUUGGGAGUGCGAGACGGCCAAGACUGCUACGGGAGGCAGCAGUGGGGGAUAGGACACAAGGGACGAAAGCCUGAGGCAGGGAAGCCGCGUGGGGGAUGAGGGCUUUCGGGUUGUAAGCCUCUGUCGCUAUCGAACGGGUAGGUGGAGAGAAAGCGACGGCUAACUACGUGCCAGCAGCCGCGGUAAUUC